rnacentral:rRNA from 1 species
GAUGAACGCUGGCGGCGUGCCUAAUACAUGCAAGUCGAGCGAACAGACGAGGAGCUUGCUCCUCUGACGUUAGCGGCGGACGGGUGAGUAACACGUGGAUAACCUACCUAUAAGACUGGGAUAACUUCGGGAAACCGGAGCUAAUACCGGAUAAUAUAUUAAACCGCAUGGUUCAAUAGUAAAAGACGGUUUUGCUGUCCCUUAUAAAUGGAUCCGCGCCGCAUUAGCUAGUUGGUAAGGUAACGGCUUACCAAGGCGACGAUGCGUAGCCGACCUGAGAGGGUGAUCGGCCACACUGGAACUGAGACACGGUCCAGACUCCUACGGGAGGCAGCAGUAGGGAAUCUUCCGCAAUGGGCGAAAGCCUGACGGAGCAACGCCGCGUGAGUGAUGAAGGUCUUCGGAUCGUAAAACUCUGUUAUUAGGGAAGAACAAAUGUGUAAGUAACUAUGCACGUCUUGACGGUACCUAAUCAGAAAGCCACGGCUAACUACGUG